rnacentral:tRNA from 1 species
GGGUGUUAGCUCAGUUGGUUAGAGCGCUGGCCUGUCACGCCAGAGGUCGCGGGUUCGAGUCCCGUACAUUC